GGGAUGCCCACAGCAGAUCCCUCCGGGGCGGCCUGUGGACACAGCCCAUGGUGUGACCUCCACAGCAGUUCAGCUCUGACCUCGGAGAGCCGGCGACGUGUGGAAACAGCCAGAUGCCAUUCGGAGCCAAGCCCAGUGGGGAUGCUGCAGGAGCCAAGCCAGGUCAUCCAUCCAAGUGACCACAGAACCGUGACACCCAUCUGCCCCCGUACCAUUCCUCGCUUAGAGAAAGUUCCAGAAGAGAGGCUCCAAACCUGUUUCCCGUGGUGGUGACAUCACUAGGAGUUGCUCCAGGAUCUAGAAUAUGCAUAUUCAACUUAUCACAGUCUAUCUUCAAAUUUAUACCCCUUCACAUAUUAUGAUCUGACACUAUCCGAGCGGCAGUCGGAGGCACGUGUCUGUGCGUGGCCUCCCAGGACGGCUUCCCGGCAGAGCGCGCAGAAAUCCUCUCCAGGGCCCGGGGCUGGUUCCUCCGGGCCUCCCCGCCCACUCCGCCCACCCACUAAGGGCGCAUCUCCGUGAACACUGAGGACAAAGACAUGCGGCUUCUACUGCGUCUCCUUCCCAGUCACGCAUUUCUUUUCUUUUUCUUUUUUACUUUUUAAU